UACGUAGGGGGCAAGCGUUGUUCGGAAUGACUGGGCGUAAAGGGUGCGUAGGCGGUGUAGCAAGUUAGAAGUGAAAUACCUAGAGCUUAACUCAGGUGCUGCUUCUAAAACUGCUAUACUUGAGUGCAGUAGAGGAAAGUGGAAUUCCUAGUGUAGCGGUGGGAUGCGUAAAUAUUAGGAGGAACAUCAGUGGCGAAGGCGACUUUCUGGACUGUAACUGACGCUGAGGCACGAAAGUGUGGGGAGCAAACAGG
rnacentral:rRNA from 1 species